UAUUGCGCAUGGGCUAGAGUUGGGAUUGAUAACACAUACUAUUGUGGAGCCAUUCACUAAACCAAUUCAAUUUCCUCCAUUUCCAAAAUAUCUUAUGCCAUUUCAUGAUGUUUACCAACAACCGCAUAAGACGUUCGUAGACAUUAUUGGCAUAGUUGUUCAUUUGGAGCCAUUAAAGUAUAUCGGUGGAAGGCCAUACAGAGAGGCUGUACUAAUGGAUUCCAGGUGGAAUCUAAUUGUCAUGGGGGUAUGGACCGAUCUCCUGCAGAGAAAUGCUCUACGAUGGGCAUUAGCUAAAGUUGACAAGAAUAUAAUUAUUGCAACAAUGAUGCGUCGUAACAAUAAAUACAGAUGUUUGGAAACUUCAGACUAUAGCACCAUUCAUUUUAACCCAGAUUAUCACACUACAAGCCGGCUGCAGAUCAUUCGACACUCGUUGAUUCAAAAUCCAAGGAGUCGUGCCAUCAACAAUUUUCUGGAGAACAGACAAGCACAAUUGACAACUAUGAUACCAGAUUGAGACGUGUUUUAGCUUAUUAUAGUAGAUAUACUUUAUUAAUUAUAUGUAGUAGAACACUUAGUAACAAUGAUUUGGUCUCUAUUUGUAUUGGUCAUGUGUCCAGUCUUAAUGGUGAUAGCUUUGUACAAAACUAU
rnacentral:misc_RNA from 1 species